GUGUGAUUGUGUGUGUGUGUGUGUGUGUGAGGCAGACUGGAGAGCAUAAUGUAUGUCAACCGUGUGAAGAACAAUGGCGCAUUCCUGUGAAUUCAUCUUGGCAAAGAGCUCUUGAGGCUUAAAAUGAAGCAAAAGAGCUCUUGACCCUGCAACUGCCAAGAGCCUGAACAAGACGGCCAGCUACCAAUGUUGAUGCAGCAGGACCUUGAAUGGCGCACGGGUCGCACGAUUCACAAGCUUUCCUUGAAAACUACGGCUUCCGGCCACUGUCAGGCUGGAGGAGAAACACGACUUUAGCCUAUUUUGUGAAACUUGAACGCAUAACUUCUCCAAACUCUUCAAUCUAAGGAAAACCAGCUGGAAGAUAAAUGGACUUCGGAUCGGCGCGACUUUGUUGAUUCUCAUGACAAGCCCCGGUUACGCAAGAAGGUGCAGCGACACACUGGGCUGCGAGAGGUGAGAACUGCAGUACUGGCAGCAGAUCUGACGAGGCAAUCUAAUGAUCAGUCACCUGCGUUUAGGAGAGAAAAAACAGACAUCCACGCCCUCUUCCUCGCUCCUCAGGGGCAUCUGGAAGCGCAAGCUGCACCAAACAUCAAACGCUGGUAAUGAGAGCAAUUGGGAGAAGGUGUGUCCAGGAAGCGAGGGGUGUGAAGAGGUUGUCAAGACGGAACAGUUGUUGGGUACAAGAGAGGCGACGGAAACAGGCCAAGCUCUACGGGCCACAAAUUCAAACCGGUCGGAUGGUAUCGCCAGCAAAUCUCCAGAGGAUAAAAAUAAAUAAA